UACGGAGGGUGCAAGCGUUAUCCGGAUUCACUGGGUUUAAAGGGUGCGUAGGCGGGUUUGUAAGUCAGUGGUGAAAUCUCCAAGCUUAACUUGGAAACUGCCGUUGAUACUAUAAAUCUUGAAUGUUGUGGAGGUGAGCGGAAUAUGUCAUGUAGCGGUGAAAUGCUUAGAUAUGACAUAGAACACCAAUUGCGAAGGCAGCUCACUACACAAAGAUUGACACUGAGGCACGAAAGCGUGGGGAGCAAACAGG
rnacentral:rRNA from 1 species